AACGUAGGAGACAAACGUUAUCCGGAGUUACUGGGCGUAAAGGGCGUGUAGGUGGUAGUGUAAGUCUGGCGUGAAAUUUUUCGGCUUAACCGGGAAAGGUCGUCGGAUACUGCACAACUAGAGGACGGUAGAGGCGUGUGGAAUUCCGGGUGUAGUGGUGAAAUGCGUAGAGAUCCGGAGGAACACCAGUGGCGAAGGCGACACGCUGGGCCGUACCUGACACUGAUGCGCGACAGCAUGGGGAGCAAACGAGG
rnacentral:rRNA from 1 species